CUUGUACCUCCAUUUAAGCCUCAAGUAACAUCUGAGACAGAUACCAGAUAUUUUGAUGAAGAAUUUACAGCUCAGACUAUUACAAUAACACCACCUGAAAAAUAUGAUGAGGAUGGUAUGGACUGCAUGGACAAUGAGAGGCGGCCGCAUUUUCCUCAGUUUUCCUACUCUGCAAGUGGACGAGAAUAAGUCUCUUUCAUUCUGCUACUUCACUGUCAUCUUAGAUUUAUUACUGAAAAUGAUUCCUGGACAUCACCAGUCCUAGCUCUUACAGAUAGCAGGGGCACCUUCUGACAUCCCAGACCAGCCAAGGGUCUUCACCCCUCGCCACCUUUCACCCACAUGAAACACACAUAUACGCAAACACACUCCAAGUUUUGUUUUUGCAUGAAAUUGUAUCUCAGUCUAAGGUCUCAUGCUGUUGCUGCUACUGUCUUAUUAUAGCAACUUUAAGAAGUAAUUUUACAAUCUUUGGAAGUCAUGAGCCCGCCAUUGUUCAUUUGUUCAUCAGUUGUCAUCUUUUGAUCUUUUAGUUUUUCUUUUUCCCUAACAGUGAAGGCUAAAUGAGAUACACUGAUUCUAGGUACAUUUUUUAACUUUCUAGAAGAUAAAUCAAAAACUAAUUAGACUAAGAAGACUUAGUUUAUAAAUUCAGAACAAGCAACUGUGGAAAGGUGGUGGCAUGCAUAUGCACAGCUUUAAUAAAGCGUAUCAGAUCAAUGCAUAAAGUUGGUAUAUAUCACUGAGAUCUGGCUGAAAUUUAUUAGGAAGCUUUUGGUAGAAGGACUGAACAACUGUCGAUAUAUAUCUAUAAAUAUAUUUUUCAAUUCCUGGUAUAUACUGCAGAGGAAGCCUAGUAUCACAUGUGGAUGUCGAGACUUCACAGGCAGUUGUAGGCAAAGGAACAGUGUUUUGCCAGGAAUGAAAGCAUAUGCACAGUCGAGGUCACCUAAAGGGUCUUAGGAUGCAAUUUGCGCCAGAGAGCAUUUUUUCCCGUGCUUGGAAACCUUUUUUCCUUCUUGAUGUUUAUCACCUCUGAUGGCUGAAGAAUGUAGACAGGUAUAAUGAUCCUGCUUUUCACCAAAAUUUGUACACCAAGGUAAACAGCUGUUUGCCUUAUUUGUUUUGGUUUUUUAGUUUCAGUUCUACGUGAAUUAGCUUAUCCUCAGAUGUUAAAACUUUGAAUGUCCUUUUAUGAUUUUGUUUAUAUUGCAGUAGUAUUUAUUUUUUAGUGAUGAGAAUUGUGUGUCAUGUUAGCAAAUGCAGCUCCAACUUACAUAAAGCAGACAUCCUGCAGUUUCUUUUGACCCAUGUGCAAGGAAUGUACAUGCUGAUGAAAAUCAUGCACUUUUUCUCCUCUGUAAAAAAUGUUGAUACAGCUCUGAAAUGGUUUAUAUUGAUUAGAAUUUGGCUUUGGGAGAAGAGAUGCUAUCGUUUAACCCCUUGGUGCUGAAAAUGAGAAAAUCCCCAACUGUCCAUGCCAAGGGGUUAAUGGAACACAUAGAUGCUGAUGUUGGCUCAUUUGAGAAGUAAAAUGUAAUAACGACCUGACAGCAUUGAGUAAUGAAGAACUUGAGACCUGAGUGAUGAUAAGAAAUGAACUUUACUUGGCAAAAUGAACACCUCUUGAGUAUUUAGGAAGUAGGCAGUAAAGGUUAAGGACCUGGUGUGUUUAUUCUGAUCAUGGUACAUUUAUCACUGAAUUAAGCCAUCAGGGAAAAAAAAAAAACACCUCCAGCUUUUCUUUUUUUGUAUAUACUCAUGUCCCCAAAUUCCAACAUUUCUCACUGAAAGGGGACAUGUAUGCAAACCUCAUCUUUCUCCUUCAUUAAUGAUGAUCUUCAGAUUAAACCCUUUGGUGCUAGGAGCUGACAUUUUCCAAAGCAGCCUAUGAAGUCCAAGGGGCUGGGGCCAUUCCUGCGACAAGCAGAGGGUGUCCCACCCCGUGGAGUGAUCAUGGAGAUAUAUUUUAGUUGAACUGUCUGACAGCUCCCAAAUGGAAGACUAAAGCGUGACAUUGUAUGAUGAUUGCAUUGUGUGAAAGAGCAAGUGACUUUCCAAGGAGGAUGAAUCAUACUCAUCUGCAGAUGUCUUAGCCUCUUGAUGCUGGAGUGUGGGUUUAUAGCUCUGAAACCACUGCUGGCGGUGGGUGGGCCACUGGGACUGACGGGGGUUAAAGGGCAUUUUACUAAGGCAGCUAAGACAUAUUCAGACAUAGACUUUAUCCUAGUUUUUCAUAUUUCUACCUGAGUGAAGUUUAUCCUUGGUGUCCAGUAGGAAUUUCAGUAAGUGGUAGUUCAUUCUUACACAUAUAGCUUAACUGUUUUUUUUCCACUUGGAAUUAUGUUGAAUGUUUCACGUUGACCAGAAAGUAGACUAGAAGGUAUGUCCUUUAAGUUGUCUUGCAUCCUUUGUAUAAGAAAGAAACAGGUGGGAGGAAGAGGGCUACGACUGGCUGGUAUUCAGAGCACUUACUCCUUUAGAGGGAAAGCGUGAUGCCGUACACUAAGCACAUAGCUUUUUGUUGUUGUUUUCUUUCCUCCAAAUCUUAAGGAGAUGUCUAUGACCUUGGCCAAGGACACUUCCUAAAGAUGAAUGACCGGCAGUGAUGGUGCCCUGGGCUGGCCACUCCUCAUACUGGUUCUCAGUCGCUAGCCAUGCCCAAGGCUCAGUCACUUGUGCCCACUGAGAUUCCAUUGAUGUCACAAAAGGUGUUUUCUUGGCUUUGAUUUUGAGAAUCCUUUACUUUCACUCCCAGAUCUGUCAGCUGACAUAGAGGAAUAAUACAAAAAGAGAAUUGUGUGUAGAGGGCGAUUCCCUUGUGUUGCCCGUAGCUGUAGUUUUGGGUUCUGACAGGUGAACUGCUCGAAACCUGGAAUCAUUCUUUGAGAAUACAGUUCAGACUUCAGACUCCAGCACAUACUAACUGUCAUGGUUUGACCUCUUGUCAUAAUGCAGCCAUCUUGGAGGAAAUUGGCCAUUUCUGGUUGGGUUGUUGGCAGGGUCACUCUCAGCUUUGCUUUCCAUACUAAUUACAUAGCAUUAUUCAAGUAUUGUUUUCCAUUCCCACACCUGAUUUCCAGCUUCUUGAAGCUGACUGUUCUUGCAGGGGCCACUUGCUUCUCCUAGAGUACAAAAGUAAGGGCCUUCCUUACUAACUGCAGGGUCUAUAUAUUACACCUCAAUGUACACACUUUGCUGCUACUGUUUGUACUGUCUACAGUAGAAUUUCCCUAUCUUGCUCCUGGUAGUGCAUUACAGGCAAGCAUGAAAUGUAAAGUAUUUAUUUAAAUAAAAAGAAAACCUCUAAAUUGGUAAUUGAAUUACCUCCCUGUAGCUUUAUAGUUUGUGACAUUUCUUGACCUUGCUAGUUCUUUCAUUAGAUCCGCGCAAGAUCUAGUCAUCUGGUUAAGGACUUUAAGCAGAAGCAACUAUGAACCCGAGAAACUGUAUUACUAUUACUGUCGGUCAUACUAAAAUUGUUUAUUCCUUACGUAUAUGACCCACAAGGAUGUGAAAUAACUACAAGAAACUGUUUUUGUACACUGUACAUCCUUAGUAUUUUUACACGUAUAUGAUAGGGAUGCACAUUAUUUUCCUUUCGUACAGACAGCUUAAAUAAAGCACUAUGUCAAUCUGCUACUUCUCUGUUUAUUGUUGUUGGACGUGGUUCUGUAAUCUCAGAAAAUUAUUCUUUUCUGGAAAAAUAAAUUUUUAAUAGCCCGACUUGGUAUUAACCUACCCUGUAUUAACAUAUGGCAGGAAAAAUAUGUAGUGAGUUUCUUGUAGCUCAAACACACAGGGAAUUAUUUUUACUUCAAUUAAAUGGCAAUAGUGCAGUUGUACAAACCUUGAUGAAGGGCUACUUCCGGCGGGGGGGGUGGGGCGCUGACCUCUCAGCACUGAGCUUAGGACAGAUCUACUGUGAAGCCAGGGACGGAGUGGGUCUCGGACCUUGGAGAUCAUUCAGACUCUAGUAAUGUUUACAACAAAUGGUUUGGACCCAGAAUUCUUAAGGAGUGUAGCUCAUUGUUAAUGUCUUCCUGAUAAUGUACUGUUCUGCAUACUUCUUUCUUAGAGUGAAUUUUUAACACUUCAUGGCAGAUUAACAAACUUAGACAUGGGUAGUAUAGAUGGAUAGGAUGGCUGGAUUGCAGUCUGGUUUAUGUUGAAUCAUUUUGGAUGGGGCCUUUUUCUGAUUUUACCUCAUGUAGCUACUGUUGUAGAAACUUGGCUUUGCUCCUGUGACUAAGCCAGAUAGAGAAAUGGCUUUUGGGGCCAGAGGUAGUCAAAGUCAAGCAUGUGUGUGUGUGUCACACAGCCAGGUUUGAGGGCAUUCUUUCAUGUGCUCUUCUCAGAACCACCGAGGUUGACAGAUCCAGGAGGCUAAAAUAAAGUGACCUCUAUAAUUCCUUAAAGGUGCUAUUUUUAGAAUAUUGUAUAAUUUAUUCACAGUAUACCUAAAACAGAGUUGAGGGCAAUUAAAAUAUCUUAUGUGACAGCCUUUAUGUCUAGCACAUUUGAUGAAAUCAGAAACUUCUGAAUCUGAAUAGAAGUUCUGCUGUUUGAGGCUUGCAUCUUUUGCAUGCUCGAGAGACUCGGACGGUCUCUGUGUGUGUCACGCCGCCGCCUCCAAAGCCUACUCCACAUCGAUUUUGAGAGGCAAGGCCGAACAUGGCGAACAUCAGGUCUGUGCUGAGACGACGGCGACGGAUCGCUGGCGGGAGGACGGCCUGAGGCCGGGGACGUGUCCCAGCCUUGCCUUGCCUUCAGUGCUUCGUCGUCACCCCCACGUACAACACACAACUCGCAGUGUCCACUGUUGUUCCUUUAAAGCACUCGAGGGCUUAACUGUGUAUAGUAGAAAUACUAUUUUAGACUAAAAUAAUGAUCUGUGUACAGAUAUUUGAUAUACUCUAAGUAAAUUUUCUAAUUUCACUAAGUACGUUUUUAGGCUCCUCUCACAUACUGCGUAUUGAAGAAAAAAAUCUGACACCACUGAGCCAAAGAUGCUUUUUCGUCUGCUUCGUUGUUUAACAGGAUGGAAAGAAUAAUGCAUAGUGCUUCCUGGUGUCUCCUGAUGGUGCACAAACUAAUGAGCUGAUAAGUAAUGAUGGAGUCUUGUGGGAUGGAUGUUGAUUAAAGGCAAGUGAGGACGAGGGGCGAGAGGGCGGUCACGGAAAGAGCAGCCGAGUGGCGGGACACAGGGUGCUCCUCCGUACACUCUGGCUUCGUGAAAUAUGUGCCUUUCUAGUGUGCUCGUUCGGCACUACAAGGAGAAGGGAAACCUGCAGUUCAGGUCUGGAAACAGUCCGUUUACUGAAAUGCACAUGUAUGACCUAGCACACAAAUGAGCAGAUUUAAAAACAUAACUGCAAGCCAUUUCGAAGACGCCCACCAGGAGCCCUCCUCGUCUUGUGUUGGCUGCACCAGCCAUCGUGCAGAACAGCAAGUGUGGAGGUGAGGACCAGCCCCAGUCUUAGGUGGUGUCACCCUGCGAAGGUCGCGGUGCAUUGUGGCAUAUCAAGUGUCAAUCAGAUGAAUGUAAAUAUCUCUUUGUAAAUCAUUUACUUCACUCUGUUCCAUCCAGGUCAGCAAUCAGAUUGUGGCAUGCUGGGUAACUGGAAAAAAUGAUAAUAAAAAGUAAGUUGAAAUAGA